rnacentral:rRNA from 1 species
GACGAACGCUGGCGGCGUGCUUAACACAUGCAAGUCGAACGGACAGGCCCGGCUUUUGUGCGGUUCUCGAUUGGCGAACGGGUGAGUAAAACGCGAGUAACCUGCCCUUGUCUUUGUGAUAACAUCAGGAGACUGCGGCGCAUACCGGGUAGGAGCUCCUGCUGCAUGGGGGUGGUUGGAAAGUGUCGGCGGUUGGGGAUGGUCUCGCGGGUUAUCAGCCGGUUGGUGGGGUAGUGGCGGACCAAGGCUUCGACGGGUAGCCGGCCUGAGAGGUUGAACGGCCACAAGGGGACUGCGAGACGGCCCAGACGGCUACGGGCGGCAGCAGGCGGGAAUAUUGCGCAAUGGCGCGAAGCCUGAUGCAGCAAUGUCGCGAGCGUGAUGCCGUCCUACGGGUUGAAAACCGCUUUCUCCUGUAACGAAGCGUGAGUGACGGUAAUGGGUAAAGAAGCCCCGGCUAACUACGUG